rnacentral:rRNA from 1 species
UGGGGAAUUUUGGACAAUGGGCGCAAGCCUGAUCCAGCCAUGCCGCGUGUCUGAAGAAGGCCUUCGGGUUGUAAAGGACUUUUGUCAGGGAAGAAAAGGCUGUUGCUAAUAUCAGCGGCUGAUGACGGUACCUGAAGAAUAAGCACCGGCUAACUACGUGCCAGCAGCCGCGGUAAUACGUAGGGUGCAAGCGUUAAUCGGAAUUACUGGGCGUAAAGCGAGCGCAGACGGUUACUUAAGCAGGAUGUGAAAUCCCCGGGCUCAGCCUGGGAACUGCGUUCUGAACUGGGUGACUAGAGUGUGUCAGAGGGAGGUAGAAUUCCACGUGUAGCAGUGAAAUGCGUAGAGAUGUGGAGGAAUACCGAUGGCGAAGGCAGCCUCCUGGGAUAACACUGACGUUCAUGCUCGAAAGCGUGGGUAGCAAACAGGAUUAGAUACCCUGGUAGUCCACGCCCUAAACGAUGUCAAUUAGCUGUUGGGCAACUUGAUUGNUCAGUAGCGUAGCUAACGCGUGAAAUUGACCGCCUGGGGAGUACGGNCGCAAGAU